UCUCCAGCCUGGCUCUUUCACAGGGGGCAUUGUGUCAUAUUGCUGGGCCCCACACAUAGGUUAUGUGAGUCUCCUGCCUGUGCCCUACCCAUGUAGGCCAUUGUGACAUAUUGCUGGGUCCAACACCCAGGUGAUGUAACUCUACUGCCUCGGUCCUGCCUACAGCGGACAUUGUGAUAUAACCCUGCACCCAUCACACAGGAGGAGACUGUAACGUAUCCCUAAUUGAGCACCCAGGUGGUGUGACACUUCUGCCCUGUCCCUGCCCUCAGAGGAGAUUCUGACAUAUCACUGCCCCAAAAUGCAGCACCUGAGUAAUUUGACUCUCCUGCCUGGACCCAGCGUACAGAUGGGAUUGUGCUUCAUUGCUGGACCCAGCAUUUAGGCCCACUACCUAUGAGAUUGCAUGCUCCUGCCUGGGCUGUGCCCACAGUGACCUUGUGACAUAUAUCUGCAUCCAUGACCUAAAAGAUGUGACACUUCUUGCCUGCAACCUGCCCUGCACAGGAAAGAUUGCGACUUCUCCCUGGAAGCAGACACCAGGGAUCGUCACUCCCGUGGAUGAUCAAAGCUACUCCGGGGGCUGAGGCAGGAGAAUCGCUUGAACUCGGGAAGCAGAAGUUGCAGUGAGCCAAGGUCGCACCACUGCACUCCAGCCCAGGCGACAUUGUGAGACUCCAUCUCAAAAAAAAAAAAAAGAAAAAAAGUGUACUAACAAGACCCAGCACACAGAGGAGACUUUUACCAUUGUAUGAACACCCAUCAAACAGUACACAUCAUCAUUGUGAGUUCUGAAUCUCACACAUAGAGGAAGUCAAAGGUGGAAAACUUGACUCUCAUAUUUGGAUCCAGUCCACAGGUUCUGCUAGCAAGGAAGACUGAGACAUAUUGUGGGGCUCUACGCCAAUGUGACAUUACUGUUCUGCCUUGGCCUGUACCUGAAAAGGCAUUGUGACAUAUUGCUGGGCCCAGCAACAAGGUGGCAUGAGUCUUCCGUAUGGACCCUGACAACAGAGCAUUGUGACAUAUCUUUAAGAGCAUCAACUAUUUGAUGUGACUCUCCUUUUCUACCAAGGCUUUCCUCAUAUGAGAGAUUGUGACACAUCUUCUGGCACAGAAAUCAAGUGAUGUGUUUCUCCUGCCUGAGCUUUGCUCAUAGAAAGCAUUGUGACAUAUCUCUGGUCUCAGCACCCAGGUGUGAUUUUGACGCACACUUCUGCCCAGCACCUGAGUAAUGUGAUUCUUCAGAAUUGGCCCGGCCCACAAAUAGGAUUGUGCCACACUGCUGGACCCAGUGCCUAAGUGAUGUAACUCUAUUCUUCUGCCUUGGUGCUACUCGAAAAAGACAUUGUAACAUAUCUCAGAGCCUUACACCCAGGUAAUGUGAGUCUCCUCUUCUGCCUUGCUGCUGCACACAGAAGCGGAAUAUGUACAGGAUUGUUAAUCUCAUCUUGGAUCUUCCUGCACUUGUGAUUGUGACACAUGCCUCUGUGUAGAACCUGAGUGAGUUUACUCUCCUGCCUGGAUUUAACCCAUAGAUGGAAUCGUGACAUAUCACUGUACCAGAAACUAGGUGAUGUGACUCUAUUUUCUUGCCUCUGUGUUUUUAUAUGGGGCAUCGUGACAUAUCACUGGGCCUUGCACCCAAGUGAUGGGAGUUUUCUCUCCUGCUUUGGUGCCGUCCACAAUGAAAAUUGUGAAAUAUUGCUGCCCUCCCCACUAGGUUAUGUUACUCUCCUGCCUCUGCUUUGCCCACAUGGGUCACUGUGACAUAUUGCUGGGUCUAAAACCCAGGUAAUGUCACUCUCUUGUUUGGGUUCUGCCUGCAGGAGUCAUUGUCACAUAUCUCUAUGCUCAUCACCCAGGUAAUAUGAUUCCCUUUUACUGCUUAGUUCCUUCUCACAAAACAACUUGUGACAUAUUGCUAGGCCCAAUACACCUAGCUGGUGUAACUCUUCUUUUCUUUUCUUUCCUUUUUUUUUUUUUUUUUUUGAGAUGGAGUCUCACUCUGUUGCCCAGGCUGGAGUGCAGCGGCAUGAUUUCAGCUCACUACAGCCUCUGCCUCCUAGGUUGAAGCGAUUGUCCUGACUUGGCCUCCCAAGUAGCUGGGAUUAAAGGCAUGUGCCACCACGCCCGGCUAAUUUUUGUAUUUAUAGUAGAGACAGGGUUUCGCCAUGUUGGCUAGGCUGGUUUCGAACUUCUAACCUCAGGUGAUCCUCCUGCCUCGGCCUCCCAAAGUACUGGAAUUACAGGCAUGAGCCACUGCACCUGGCCUGAUUCUUCUCUUCUUUCUAGGUUUCAACUGCAGCAGAGAUUGUAACAAACCACUGGGCCCAGCCGCAUAAUGAUGUUACUCUUUUGCCUUGGGCCUGCCCUCAGAAGGCACUGUCACAUAUUCAUGGGCCCAACGCCAAGGUGAUAUGUGUCUCCAGCCUGGACCCUGCCCACAGGGGGCAUUGUGACAUAUCUCUUGGCCCAUCAGAUGUUUGAUUGUUAUCCCCUCCCCUCUUCUACCCUGUGUUUGCCUAUAAAAGACACAGUCAUAUGUUCCUGGGCCCAGCACCUAGGUGUUGUCUUACUGGAAUGUGUCCACAUGGGGAUUGUGAUAUGUCACGUGGCCCAGUACUUAACUUGAUGUGACUCUCCUCUCAUGCCUAGGCCUUGUAGAGAAUCCCCUUCCCCUUUUGUUUUCCUUUUUUUCUUUGCAGAUCCAGGAGAUAAUCAACUAAGAGCCAGGCACCCGUUUAGGUCUAAUAAACAUUUUACAAACUGC
rnacentral:lncRNA from 10 species